CAAGCGGUGAGCAUGUGGUUUAAUUCGAAGCAACGCGAAGAACCUUACCAGGUCUUGACAUCCCGAUGCUAUUUCUAGAGAUAGAAAGUUACUUCGGUACAUCGGUGACAGGUGGUGCAUGGUUGUCGUCAGCUCGUGUCGUGAGAUGUUGGGUUAAGUCCCGCAACGAGCGCAACCCCUAUUGUUAGUUGCCAUCAUUCAGUUGGGCACUCUAGCGAGACUGCCGGUAAUAAACCGGAGGAAGGUGGGGAUGACGUCAAAUCAUCAUGCCCCUUAUGACCUGGGCUACACACGUGCUACAAUGGUUGGUACAACGAGUUGCGAGUCGGUGACGGCGAGCUAAUCUCUUAAAGCCAAUCUCAGUUCGGAUUGUAGGCUGCAACUCGCCUACAUGAAGUCGGAAUCGCUAGUAAUCGCGGAUCAGCACGCCGCGGUGAAUACGUUCCCGGGCCUU
rnacentral:rRNA from 1 species